AUUGAACGCUGGCGGCAUGCCUUACACAUGCAAGUCGAACGGUAACGGGCCUUCGGGUGCCGACGAGUGGCGAACGGGUGAGUAAUACAUCGGAACGUGCCCGAUCGUGGGGGAUAACGAGGCGAAAGCUUUGCUAAUACCGCAUACGAUCUACGGAUGAAAGCAGGGGACCGCAAGGCCUUGUGCGGACGGAGCGGCCGAUGGCAGAUUAGGUAGUUGGUGGGAUAAAAGCUUACCAAGCCGACGAUCUGUAGCUGGUCUGAGAGGAUGAUCAGCCACACUGGGACUGAGACACGGCCCAGACUCCUACGGGAGGCAGCAGUGGGGAAUUUUGGACAAUGGGCGCAAGCCUGAUCCAGCCAUGCCGCGUGCAGGAUGAAGGCCUUCGGGUUGUAAACUGCUUUUGUACGGAACGAAAAGCCUUCUUUUAAUACAGGAGGGUCAUGACGGUACCGUAAGAAUAAGCACCGGCUAACUACG
rnacentral:rRNA from 1 species